rnacentral:rRNA from 1 species
GGGAUCAUUACAGAGUUCAUGCCCUAACGGGUAGAUCUCCCACCCUUAUGAUUAUUAUUACUUUGUUGCUUUGGCGGGCCGUCAGGCUCACGCCCGGCUACCGGCUCACGCUGGUAAGCGCCCGCCAGAGAACCCCAAACCCUGAAUAUUAGUGUCGUCUGAGUACUAUAUAAUAGUUAAAACUUUCAACAACGGAUCUCUUGGUUCUGGCAUCGAUGAAGAACGCAGCGAAAUGCGAUAAGUAAUGUGAAUUGCAGAAUUCAGUGAAUCAUCGAAUCUUUGAACGCACAUUGCGCCCCUUGGUAUUCCGAGGGGCAUGCCUGUUCGAGCGUCAUUACAACCCUCAAGCCUAGCUUGGUAUUGGGCUCCGUCACUCACCUGGCGGGCCUUAAAAUCAGUGGCGGUGCCUCCGUGGCCCUGAGCGCAGUAAACAUCCUCGCUAUAGGGACUCGGCGGUUGCUUGCCAACAACCCCAUACUUUCUAAGUUUGA